AUCUAGCUGAUGGGUCCCAAAUGAGACGAAACAUGCGUCCUGGAC
rnacentral:hammerhead_ribozyme from 1 species